rnacentral:tRNA from 1 species
GCGAUAAUAGUGUAACCUGGUUAGCAUAGGAGACUGUGGAUCUUCUGGUCCGAGUUCAAAUCUCGGUUAUCGCC